CCUAGGGGGUGCAGCAGUGGGGAAUAUUGGACAAUGGGCGAAAGCCUGAUCCAGCCAUGCCGCGUGUGUGAAGAAGGCCUUCGGGUUGUAAAGCACUUUCAGUGGGGAAGAAAGCCUUGGGGCUAAUACCCUCGAGGAAGGACAUCACCCACAGAAGAAGCACCGGCUAACUCCGUGCCAGCAGCCGCGGUAAUACGGAGGGUGCGAGCGUUAAUCGGAAUUACUGGGCGUAAAGCGCGCGUAGGCGGUCUGAUAAGCCGGUUGUGAAAGCCCCGGGCUCAACCUGGGAACGGCAUCCGGAACUGUCAGGCUAGAGUGCAGGAGAGGAAGGUAGAAUUCCCGGUGUAGCGGUGAAAUGCGUAGAGAUCGGGAGGAAUACCAGUGGCGAAGGCGGCCUUCUGGACUGACACUGACGCUGAGGUGCGAAAGCGUGGGUAGCAAACAGGAUUAGAUCCCUUGUAGUC
rnacentral:rRNA from 1 species